rnacentral:rRNA from 1 species
AGAUUGAACGCUAGCGGGAUGCUUUACACAUGCAAGUCGAACGGCAGCGCGGACUUCGGUCUGGCGGCGAGUGGCGAACGGGUGAGUAAUAUAUCGGAACGUGCCCAGUAGCGGGGGAUAACUACGCGAAAGCGUGGCUAAUACCGCAUACGCCCUACGGGGGAAAGGGGGGGAUUCUUCGGAACCUCUCACUAUUGGAGCGGCCGAUAUCAGAUUAGCUAGUUGGUGAGGUAAAGGCUCACCAAGGCGACGAUCUGUAGCUGGUUUGAGAGGACGACCAGCCACACUGGGACUGAGACACGGCCCAGACUCCUACGGGAGGCAGCAGUGGGAAUUUGGACAAGUGGGGAAACCCUGAUCCAGCCAGUCCCGCGUGUGCGAUGAAGGCCGUUCGGGUUAGUAAGCGUACUUUUUGGCGAGGGUAAGAAACGGCGUACCUUAAGUACGGGUCGUCGACUUGACGUACCGUGCGAAGUAUAAGCACCGGCUAACUACGU